UACAGAGGGUGCGAGCGUUAAUCGGAAUUACUGGGCGUAAAGCGUGCGCAGACGGUCAUGUAAGUCGGGUGUGAAAGCCCUGGGCUCAACCUAGGAAGUGCACUCGAAACUGCGAAGCUUGAGUCCUGGAGAGGAAGGCGGAAUUCUCGGUGUAGAGGUGAAAUUCGUAGAUAUCGAGAGGAACACCGGUGGCGAAGGCGGCCUUCUGGACAGUGACUGACGCUGAGACGCGAAAGCGUGGGGAGCAAACAGG
rnacentral:rRNA from 1 species